GAUGAACGCUGGCGGCGUGCCUAAUACAUGCAAGUCGAGCGAACAGAUGAGGAGCUUGCUCCUCUGACGUUAGCGGCGGACGGGUGAGUAACACGUGGAUAACCUACCUAUAAGACUGGGAUAACUUCGGGAAACCGGAGCUAAUACCGGAUAAUAUAUUGAACCGCAUGGUUCAAUAGUGAAAGACGGUUUUGCUGUCACUUAUAGAUGGAUCCGCGCCGCAUUAGCUAGUUGGUAAGGUAACGGCUUACCAAGGCAACGAUGCGUAGCCGACCUGAGAGGGUGAUCGGCCACACUGGAACUGAGACACGGUCCAGACUCCUACGGGAGGCGGCAGUAGGGAAUCUUCCGCAAUGGGCGAAAGCCUGACGGAGCAACGCCGCGUGAGUAAUGAAGGUCUUCGGAUCGUAAAACUCUGUUAUUAGGGAAGAACAAAUGUGUAAGUAACUAUGCACGUCUUGACGGUACCUAAUCAGAAAGCCACGGCUAACUACGUG
rnacentral:rRNA from 1 species